rnacentral:rRNA from 1 species
AUUGAACGCUGGCGGCAGGCCUAACACAUGCAAGUCGAGCGGAGCGGCGGACGGGUGAGUAAUGCCUAGGAAUCUGCCUGGUACUGGGGGCUAACGUCCGGAAACGGGCGCUAAUACCGCACACUAUCAGAUGAGCCUUGGUCGGAUUAGCUCGUUGGUGGGGUAAAGGCCUACCAAGGCGACGUUCCGUAGCUGGUCUGAGAGGAUGAUCAGCCACACUGGAACUGAGACACGGUCCAGACUCCUACGGGAGGCAGCAGUGGGGAAUAUUGGACAAUGGGCGAAAGCCUGAUGCAGCCAUGCCGCGUGUGUGAUGAAGGUCUUCGGAGUGUAAAGCACUUUAAGUUGGGAGGCGGUACCAACAGAAUAAGCACCGGCUAACUUCGUGCCAGCAGCCGCGGUAAUUC